UUGCACACUUAUCGUAAUUUGCGGACACCGUGCAAUGUGGAGAAAAUAUACAAGACAUAUCUUUCACUUGGCAACCAAUUCAUCAAUCAUAGGAGCUCCGAAAUCGGUCGCUAAGUUAGAACGUGUCCUCAGGGUGCGUACUUUUCUGUGUGAACAUUUGGAAAAAUGCUCUUGUGUGUGCAGAACGUUUGGACCGCGAAGACACGUGCAAGGCCCGAAUGGUGAUCACGAAAGCUUAGAAAGAGGAAGCAUUCAGGAUUGUCAUUUCUGCCAAGCAGGGAACCAGUCAAAUAAGAGCUGCAGAGAAAAAUAAGAGCUACAGAAGUACUAGCUCCGAGCAGAGGUAACAGAAGGCCUGCACGGGACGUGUUUCUGCUUUAUUAUCUUCGACACUUUUCCUG